GGAGCCAGCGACGUUAAAGCAAAUGACGGAACUAAGCAUGUAGAGCCGAUGGGCGAGUGUCGGCGGACGCGGGUUCGAUCCCCGCCGCCUCCACCA
rnacentral:tRNA from 1 species